AAGCGAAAGUAGUAAUUGCAAGAUAUAUAAUUAUGCAAUGCUAACAGGUAAUGAGCAUGUAAGCAACAUGUAAUCAUAGUCAAACAGUAAUGAAUCAACUGAAUAAUAGAAGCAUAGCAACUAUUAAAAGCAUGAAUAUAAACAUAAAUGUGUAAGUAACAACUGUACACUGUAACUGGUAAUCAUUCAUUACUGUCCAAUUUUCUUUAGCACUUUCCUUUUAUUCAUAGGGAGCUACUCAAGGUAGUCCAGCUUGCGCCGCGCCUAAUGGCCCCGUGGUAGUGUACACUCCCCACGGCAAUCCACUUCGGCACCCAAUCCCGCACGGGCGAGCAACUGUCGCGUAGGCCAACUCCGGAGUGCCGGCUUGUAGGGAGCUACCCUCACAAGCGUGUGCGAAUGAGCACGAUGGCAAGCAAGCAUAUUCCACUGUCCACAUGUCUCAAUUAUCAUAUUUUCAUUUGCAAUGUUCUCAGUCUCGAUCCUCGAUCGAAAUUUCAAUAUAACAAAUAUUAACAACAACUAGAAUCCACUAGUUUAGUAAGCAUGCAAGAGUAAUGCUAAUUUACACCUGGCAUUAGAAUCUUUUCACUAUCAACAUAGUCCCAAAGCAUGUCAUGGUUCUCUACUUUAUAGUCAAAAGAAUGUCAUUGUUCUCUACUUUGUACUCCAACAAGUAAAAAGAGAAUGUCAUGGUUCUCUACUUUUCAUGAGCAUAAUAACUUGUCUCAUAGUUAUUCAACUAAACUAAACAGGAGUAUGAAUACUUUUAUGCAUGAGGAUUCCCUACUUCAUAGAGAUUCUAUUUCAAUUAUACCAACAUUAUGGCAACAUGAUGCGCGUACUUUACUAAUCACAUUACUCACAAUCACACAUAACUAUACCAACUCUAUGGUACAUAUAGAACAUAGGGGAGCUUCACUUGCUCUGGUUAGGUCAAACCCACCUAGUACUAGGCUCCAAAUUAGUCCCCAAAAGUCCGUAAUUUAGCUCCACUAGGCCUCAGCCCUGCUGCCAACGAAGCACGAAAUGCGCAUCGAAGCGAUUACAUAAGAAUCCAAUUUCGGCAAAUUCUCAAUUAAUACGAAGUGGAAGCUUAAUUCCCUGUUUUGGCUCAGUUCAUUACCUCAUGUUCAGCUUCCGGAAGGCCCUCCAAUGCCAAACGAAGGUGGCCCAAAGGUCAAAUAUCCUCUCGCUGUGAACAAUACCGAAACGGCGUCAAAAUGCUUGUAUAUGAGCUUAUAUAGUUCAACUCUUGCGAAAUUGAAUUUAUAACGGAAGUUCCUGCUUACCCUGGGUUAGAGCAGCUUCCAAACCAGCUUCUAAGAGUACAAAUUCAGCUCAACGAAGCUCGAAGACCUGCUGCGAAGAAAUAAUCCCCAAUUUGCAUCAAUUCGCUCAAAUAAUUGCAUUUUGUUCCAAUUUAGCUUGAUAAAUGGCUAAUUAUUCUAAUUAAGCUUCAAAGUAGCUUAUCCCUGGUCUAAGAAGGUUAAGUCACAGCUAAUUAACUCAUAUUUAAUAGCUGAAAUCUCAGUUUAAAUCAGUUGGAAGCAAAAACGCAAAAGCAACACUUAAAUCGACUAAUAGAACGUUGAUAAUGGAGAAAAUCGAGUCGAUUACCUUCUCAAGCUUCCAACCAGCACUUUACUGGUUCAGAGCUGCGAAAAACUCUCCGAAACACCCUCUCACACGUCCACGUGAGCUCUGUGACACCGGCAACGAGCGAAGAUCGAGCGAGGCGACGAAAACGACGCAAAACGACGACUUUUAUCUAGAGAGAGAAAAUUCCUAGAGAGAGAGAAGAAGGUAAAAGAAGCCUUCUCAGAACUCUAGCAACCUCCUCUGAGCAUCCCAGGUCGUGCUGGGUUCAAGAAGAUAGGAACAAGAUGUGAAAAGACCAAAAGACCCUUGCUGCCACGUUUUACCAUUGUGUACCGGUACACAAUGAUGGUUGUACCGGUACACCAAGCAGAAAACUGCUAAUUUCGCCAGCUCAAUGCACCUUCUUACUUUUAGCUUUCCAAUCAUCCUCUAAAUUGUCCAAAAACUUGUCCAAGCCCUUUAGAAUAUGUAGGAUAAAUCCACACUUCAUUCCACACACUCGAACUCUACAAUUUGCGAAAGUUCAGUGUAUUACAUUCAACCCUCCUAAAAAGAAGUUUCGUCCGCGAAACUUGUAAACACUUACCUCAAGAUUCCGUCGAGAAUAGAUAGGGAUAAUGCUCUUGCAUUACACUCUCCAGUUUCCAAGUGACUUCCCGUUCCUCGUGAUUGCUCCAAAGUAUCCUUACGUACAGUAUCUCGCAGUUUCGAAGCCGUUUCACUCCACGAGCUAGGAUUCUCACGGGAUGUUCUUCAAAACUUAAAUCUUCUCGUAAAUCCACUGGAGUAUUUUCCAAUAUGUGGGUUGGAUCAAAAACAUACUUUCGCAGUGUAGAUACAUGAAAUACAUUGUGUACUCCCGGUAGGUUCAGCGGUAAAGCAAGCCGAUACGCUACGGGGCCUAUCCGCUCCAAUACCUCGUAGGUUCCAAUAAAUCGAGGACUCCACUUUCCUCGAAUGCCAAAUCUUUUAACUCCUUUCGUCGGGAAAAUCUUUAGGAAUACAUGAUCGCCAACUUGAAACUCCAGUUCUCGUCGACGUUUAUCCGCAUAGCUCUUUUGUCGACUUUGUGCUGUCAGUAGANCGUCGACGUUUAUCCGCAUAGCUCUUUUGUCGACUUUGUGCUGUCAGUAGACGUUCUCGUGCCAGUCGAACUUUAGCUUCAGCUUCUUGCAGUAUAUCUGGACCCAAAACUAAUCUUUCACCCACUUCACUCCAAUGAAGUGGUGAUCUGCACUUUCUAUCAUAAAGGGCUUCAAAAGGUGCCAUCUGAAUACUUGCUUGAUAACUAUUGUUAUAAGCAAAUUCAGCCAUCGGUAAGAACUGUGACCAACUGCCUUGGUAAUCAAUCACACAGGCUCGCAACAUAUCCUCAAGGGUCUGGAUGGUACGCUCAGACUGCCCAUCACUUUGAGGGUGAAAAGCAGUACUAAAAUCUAAUCGGGUACCUAAGGCUUCUUGUAAACUCCUCCAGAAAUGUGAAACAAAUCGGGUGUCUCGAUCAGAAACAACAGAGACUGGUACUCCAUGUAAUCGCACAAUUUCAUCUAGGUACACUUGUGCGAGUCUUUCCCCUGACCAGACUGUAUGGAUUGGGAUAAAGUGUCACGCCCGGGUACCAGCGGAAGCAUAUCCAGUACGUGCACAGACCCGCCAUACACCUGCAGUAUAUAAGGCGUCUACAAGAAACAAGUCGAUAGGAGUAAAAAUAUAACAUAAUCCUAUCCUGAUAUCAGAGUAUAAUAAAAGUCACAAAGACGAUCAACAAAAGAAUGAGAGUGUCCAACUCAAAAUAUAAGUACAAAAGAAAGUACUAAAACUGCCACAUCUGGAUCCAAAACAUAUAUACAACACAGGGUACACAAAAUAUCUGUAUAAUGGUAGUCUCUCUAUAAACUGGACAUCACCCUCGGCCGUAACCCGAGUAGCAAGGUGAUCGACUAGCACGCUCCUAGCAAUGUCUAGCUAGACGCGACUCCCUUGCUACGGUCCCUAGCCUCUCCUGUAGAUGGCUCUGUAAAAACAACAAUAAAAAGGGCGUGAGAACUAUUAACAAUAGUUCCCAGUGGGUAAGCCGCCAGCCUCGGCGAAUUACAUCACUAGGCUCAAGAUGUACUAAAUGAAAGUAAAAGCGAUAAUUAUAUGAUAUAAAUAUGCAAUGCUAACAGGCAAUAGGCAUGUAAUCACAUGUAAUCAUGAUUUCUGCAGUAAUGAAUCAGUUGAGUAAUAGAAGCAUAGCAACUACUAUAAACACAAGCAUGAACAUGGAUGUGUAAGUAAAUACUGUACACUAUAACUGAUGAGCAUUCAUUACUGUCCUUUGUCAUUUAGUACUUUCUUUUCAUUCAUAAGAAUCUACCCAAGGUAGUCCAUCUUGCGCCGCACCUAAUGGCCCCGUGGUAGUAUACACUCCCCACGGCAAUCCACUUCGGCACCCAAUCCCGCACGGGCGAGCAACUGUCGUGUAGGCCAACUCCGGAGUGCCGGCUUGUAGGGAGCGACCCUUACAAGCAUGUGCGAAUGAGCACGAUGGCAAGCAAGCAUAUUCCACUGUCCACAUGUCUCAAUUAUCAUGUUUUCAUUUGUAAUGUUCUCA
rnacentral:lncRNA from 1 species